rnacentral:lncRNA from 1 species
UCACAUACCAGCCCUUAGCUGUUGACACAAGCUUGCCAAGGCUCUUCAGAUUAAUUGGACCUUGAUGCAACCCUCGGCCCGUAUUCAUGAAAUGUAUCAUAGUAUGAGUGUUGAUCUAGAAUUAUUUGGCUUCUAGAUAUUUAUGAAUGAGAUGGGGACUUGAUCCUAGAUCAGCACUCCUACUCUGAGAGACUUUGUGAAAACAAGCCCUAGAGCGUAGGCCGUAUUCGGCUGACGACCCAUCGUGUGACCAAGACUCUCUCCCUCCAUCCCUCCUUCCCUCUCUAAGUGCUUCCUGGAGCGAGGUGAGUGGCAGCUCAGUCUGGAGGGCUUCAACGAUAGCACCAUCCCCAAAGAGCUGCAGUACUACAGCCACUCCAAGAAGCACGACCGCAACUGAUACAACGCCUGGCACUCAUGGGCAGUGUACACAGAACCAGAACCAGGGACGGGACAAGAAGAAAAGAAGGACCACGCCUGUGGUGCCAGCGCCAACAGUGAGGCCAGCAACAGCGAGCUGGACUGCACAGAGUAGAAGGCCAACAAGGCAAGGGCGGCAGCCAUCUUGAACCCUUUUUCCUCCUACAUCCACAAACACUAACCUGCCCUUUCAAUCUUCACUAUGGGACCAAUCCGAACUAAUUUGACAGACCUGUGUGUAACUUGAAACGUUGCCUAAAUCACAUGUUGAUGUCAAUGAGAGACAAGGAGAGAAUCUGAGUUGAAGGACACGUGAGGCUGGUGUGACAACUUCAUAUCACACCAAAAAAGAGGUGCCGAAAGAGUGACAGAAAAAACCUAUUGUGCAAGCAGUAGAUUAAGGUUUCCCUCUGCUCUGUUGACAACAAAUUGGUUGUUUGUUUGUGGUAAGAUAAUUCAGACAAAUCUAUUAAUUUCAAAUGGACCAACUUAGGUCUUCUGUCUAUGAAUUAAUGCCUUACUGAAUUCAAAGUACAAUCAAUCACAAAGGAGAAAGCUCUCCUUCAUUCUCCCUGUUGUUUGGCAAGCACAGGACCUCUCCAAGAUGGUACUUCUCUAUGUGGUUCCUGCUGUCCAGGGUUUCUUCCACUCCAUCUCCCUCUCCAGGGGGAACACCUUCCAGGACACCCUCAGGUAAGUCUCCACACGGGGCCAGGUCCAGUAGUCACAAAAGGUCUUA